rnacentral:rRNA from 1 species
CCUACGGGUGGCAGCAGUGGGGAAUAUUGGGCAAUGGGCGCAAGCCUGACCCAGCAACGCCGCGUGAAGGAUGAAGGUUUUCGGAUUGUAAACCUCUGUAUCUAGGGACGAAGAAUGACGGUACCUCGUAAGAAUGCCCCGGCUAACUACGUGCGAGCAGCCGCGGUAAUAGGCAGGGGCCGAGCGUUGUCCGGAAUGACUGGGCGUAAAGGGAGUGUAGGCGGCCUUGUAAGUUAGAUGUGAAAUCCUACGGCUUAACCGUAGAACUGCAUCUAAAACUGUGAGGCUGGAGUGCAGGAGAGGUGAGUGGAAUUCGUGGUGUAGCGGUGGAAUGCGUAGAUAUUAGGAGGAACACCAGAGGCGAAGGCGACUCACUGGACUGUAACUGACGCUGAGGCUCGAAAGCGUGGGGAGCAAACAGGAUUAGAUACCCUAGUAGUC